UUUGUUUGUUUUGAAGUGCUGGCAGGAAAGUGGGGAGGAGAAAAUUACCUAAGUGAUAGUGAGGUUGCCAUGAACUAUAUAAAACAGUGAAACCAAAUUGGAGCAACUGCACCUCGCUGUCUUGAACCAUAAGCACAACCCCUGAAGAGAAACCCACCCCACAACUGAGUGAUCUCAAAGGCUUGAACGAAAACCAAGUUACAUGAGCUCAGAGCUGCUGCAGGACUGAAAACCCAAGAGCUGCCAGAGCCAGUUUUAGUGGAAGCAGCGAGCAGGAAUGCUGUCCUUGGGAAGUUUGAAAGUAAUGAAGUGGAGGCAGCUUUUCUGGAUUGCAUUCUGUGUGGUGGAGUUGUCUGGCAAUGGUUCUGGGAGCCCCACAGACCCCCCCACGCUGACAGCCAUGGCUGUGGAAUCCAGAGGCACCAGCAGCACAGCAGCUCCUGCAGCCCCUGAGGCCACCACAGCCCCCACAGUCCCUGCAGCCCCCAGCAGCUCUGGGACAGCCACAGACACCUCUGCUACAUCUGGGUCUGGGGCAGCCAGCCCCUCCUCCCCGGGGCUCAGCAGCGAGGGGACCAGCCCCCAGCCCAGCCGAGCCCCCACACUGGCGCUGGGCACCCCCCUGGACACCGACCACACGAGCCAAGGGGUCCCCACGGCCGAGAGCCCAGUGACACAGCUCAGCCCGACAGCAAAAGCACCAGUGACCAUGCCAGCUCUGACCAGCACUCCUGCCACCUCGGGGCAUCCUCCUGUCCCAGCUGCCACCACGGCUGCCACCACGGCACGGCACCCGGUCAAGGACAGCCCGAAGCCCAUCACAUGCCACAAUGUCAAAGAAGUGAGUGCCACAGAAGCCAUCUGCUUGCAGCUCAACGAGUCCAGCACUUGCAAGCAUUUUCUAGAGACAAAGGGGUCGGACUUGUGGAGUGCAGUUUGUGAGGAGAGAGCCCACCGAGCCCCCUCCCCCUGCCACAUCCAACUGGCCACGUCCGAGGUGCACCGGGACUGUCUGCUCCUCAUCCUCACUGGAGACACAGAUCCCACUACAGAUGUGCUCCAGGAGUCUCACUGGGAAAAGUUUGGCAUAAAAUCCCUUAAACGAGAGAGAGUGAGGAGCCACCAGGACUUCUCUCAGAAGACCCUGAUCGCCCUGGUCACAUCUGGGCUCCUGCUGGCGUUCCUGGGCCUGGCUGGAUACUUCCUGAUGAAGCGGCGGAGCUGGAGCCCGGCGGGGGAGAGGCUGGCUGAAGACCCGUAUUACACGGAAAACGGUAGCCAGGGAAACACGAUGUUGAUGUCCCCACAAGAGCAACCUGAGCUGCAGGAGAAGCCAAACCUCAACGGUGGGACCCAGGAGAACGGGACUGGCCAAGCGUCCUCCAAAAACGGGCACUCAGCCAGACACAGCCCAGCCGACACUGAGAUGUGAGCGGGCACAGAGGCACCAGCCCGGGCCGGGGCUUGCUCUGCUCACUCAGGCAGUCACAGACCUUUGUCUUUCGUUAUGGUUUCUGUGGAGAACUUCAAAAUCAGCCUAAAGCACGUUGAGUGCCAGAGAUGCUUCUCUGCCUCCUCCUGCUCCUCCCACCGACCACACAACACUCCUUGUCACAGCUGUUCUCUGCUUUGGCUGGGAAAAGACCACAAUGAGAAACGCAGGUGCCCUUAGCCCUGAGCAGCUUGUCAGCAGAGGCAGACUCCACAGAAGCCUUGAGCCAGGCUCUGAACAGCCAGACUUUCUGGUGGCGGCGUGUUAGGCUGAGUGAAAUAGCUAAACCGGGAUUUCAGUGACAAAAACCUCUCAGGUUUCAGAUAAUUGUGGUUAACAGAGUUGGGUUUUAUCUCACCUUUAUGUUUAAGUGCAGGAUUUCUCCCUCUCUAAGAACAUCAAGCAUUUAAUCCCCCUUCUUGUCCUUCAGGUCUCCUUUUGUAUGUCCUACUCCAGCAGCAUUUGCUGAAGCUCUGUGUAAAACUUUCCACGUGGAACUGGAGGCUGAAAUGUGAAUAGACCUCAGACUUUCUUCUUCUUCAAUCCCACCAGUAGGCAGGUAGCUUGUUUUAGAGUAAAAAAAGAAUCUUUCCAUGUGUCCUCACGUCAGAGACUGGAGACAGAGCAGAGCCUUCAGUCAGUCAGCUGGGAGGGAUGGAGAACACCUCCCAGAGCUGCAGAUGGCUCCGUGGAUGCCAGGGCAGGCAGUCCCACCACCCUCCCUCCCAGCACAGGGAGGGCUUUGGGAAUAAAAGAUGCCAAAGGGUUCUCAGGGGGAGGAGUGUGAGACAGGAACCUGGCCCUGCUAUGGGUGAUCCUCCCUCUGCCUCAGCAGUGGGUACAUGAACCAAAAGGGAGUAUUUUCACCUUGGUAAGUGAAAGCCAAGACCAAAAUCCCAGCAGCAGGGGUGGGUCCCAUGUAGCUCUGCACUGAUCCUGUGCCCCAGAUGAGUGGUGCUGGAAGCCACAGUGCUGAGCUUGAGAUCUCUGCAGCUGGGUGGGAGCCAGGGUCCAGUCCUGCUCAGUCCAGAGCAAGUGCAGCUCGUUUUUAGGGAGCCACAGCUGUUGUUUGCAGCCCAGUGUCGAUGGCACAAGACCAGGAGAGGCUGCAGUCAGCAGACCUCAGUCAGCCACAGCCUCUGCUGGCACCAGCAGCCACCUCCAGAGCAGAAAUAAGGACAAAGAUGACCCUUGGAGCUGAUCUACCCUCUCACUAGUGAAUUUACUGCAACCAUUUUGCAGUGCUGAACACCUGAGGGGAAGGCUUUGUUUCUGGGACAGUGCUUACAGGAAUGGCUGCAAUGUCCAUCUCUCUCUGGGGCAGCUCUCAUGAGCACAAGAGUCAUUCCAACAUGCUUUAAAACAUUCCAGGUUUUGGUGUGAAUUCCUUCUCCCAAAUCUCAUUGUAAAUAAUCCCAUCUGGAAAGAGAAAGACAAAGUAUUAAAAGUCAAGUUGUGUGUUGUGUCCUUGGAGCAGCAGCGUGCUCAUCCCCCGGGACACGAGGCUCUGGCUGCGCUGGUGCCAGGGAGGACAAGGCCUGGCAGGGAGUUUGUUGUUUCCCAGCAGAAACACUCUGACUAAAGGCUCGUUCUGGGCACGUUUUCCCUGUCUUUCAGCAGCCACAUCUGCAGGGUGGGUGUCGUGCAGCACACCACACACCUUCCUUUGGUUGGGGUUUGGUGUGUACAAUGCCCAGCUCAUUCCUGGGAUGUGCAGGGCUGGGGUCUCACCUGGCAGCAGGGCAGGGGUGAAGAAGAUGAAGAUGAAGCCUUCCUCACUCUGCACAAUAACCAGCAAUGCUUUCUGCCUCAAAGAACUCAGAGGGUGAGGGAUGCAGGGCAGUCCUUUAGUGCCUGUUCUUGUGGAGAUGCUUGAGCUCCACUGGCAGCAGGAGGUUUUGGGGGUGGGCAUCUUUACUGACCCAGCCUCCCCCUCACUGGGGUGCCCAACCCCAGCUGGAAACCACUGCUGCCACUUUGGCUGUAGUGUGGGGGAUUCUGACCUCCAAAAGCCUGGCUGCAGGGGGAACAGAUGCAGUCCCCAGAUGCUGAGCUGUCAGGGAGCACAGGGAAGCUCUCCCCAGGGCUGGGGGGUGCGGAGGCACCUGGCCUUGGCUCCUUUUCUGUUUGGCAAGUGUUCAUCUAAUCACUACUCACUUUAUCAAAAGUAAGAGAUCUAAUCAAGCAUCAGGUGCAUUUUUCACAGCUCAGGGUAUGUCCUACAGCCAAACAGAGACAAUAAAGUUACAGUCAACUGCUUUGGCAAGACAAAAGCUCUCUCCAAAGCACACAGAGGGAAAUGGCUGAGGGGAGCAGGGCUGAGGCAGAGGAAAGGGCUGCACUUCCAGUCCAGGAAGCUUUUUGCCUGUGUGUAAACACAGGCAGGCUCAGCUCUGGCCCAGCUGAAAAGGUUGUUAUUGUUAUUAUUCCUUCCUUAUCAAACCCUUUGCAUUCCUUCCUUGCUGGCCCCAUUGUCUCCCGGGCAUCUGCCUCCUCUCCCAUCCCUUGGGCUACUUCUGGGAGCUUUUGGGGAGGCUAAAUCCACCUCAGCUUCCAACAGCAACAUGCUUUCUUGUAAACAUGCACCAAGGUUGAUGCAAGGCUCUUGCCUGGCCCAUGAUCUGUGGUUGUCUGGCCUGUUUAGCUGGUGGUGACCCUCAUGUCUACGUGAAAUGAUGGAAAUAACCAGCAUUGCAGCAUCCUCCGGGGCAGAGUGGUGGCAAAUACACGUGUAAGGUGUUAUGUAUAAAUGUGACAUAGCCAUUAAACGACAUGGCCACAUCAAUGACACAUAAAUGACACCCAGCUCCUACCUGUGGCCCUUGUGAGGUACCAGUGUUUUGCCUUGGAGGCCUCCAGAAAAAGAUGAGCUCUCCUGGUGCUCUCCAUGCUCCAGGUCUGCUGGGACAGGUUUACACUGUGCUCAGACAUCAGUGUAAGGGUUGAUGCCUCACAUGCUGUGUCGUGCUGUGAAACUGCCAUCCCCUGUGAAAUCCUGUGCAGAGCACUUUGGCCUGGAGGCUACAGAAACCCUGCUUCUCUUUAAUUCUAGCAGGGCAACGCUUACCUCUGCAGCACAGGCUGCUGCCCAGCUGAGCAGCCACCGCUGCAGAGACACGCAGUGGGUCAUGGACUUAAACGCUCCAACAUUCCUAAACGACUUUGCAACCGCAGCAGAAUUGGUCCAGGCUGUAUUAUCUAUACCAAUGCUGCUCUCUGCUGGCUGCGCUGUGCUAGAACUGCUCGUCCGUGGCUCUAGAGGGCAGCUGGUACUCGGGUAAUGGUGCCCAAUGAGCAGUGGCACCUGAGGAAGGGUUGGGCUCAUCCACCAUCCUCUGCUGAACCGGGCUGUGGUGACACAGCUGGAGCCAACUCGCUGUGGAAUUAGGUUGGUGGAGGCUGAUGUUCAAGCUCAUUUCCUUCUCUCUCCUUUUCUAACCAUAGAAAGAAACCAGUGUCGUGUACUGCCUGUGGAUAUCAUCUCUCUGCACUGACAUUUCUGCCUUUGCUCUCAAGGAAGGCAUCCGUGGCUUAGAAACUCCGGCGGAGGAAGGACCGCCUGGAAACCCUCUGGAUUCCUCUUGCUUUUACCAGUGGGAAACUCGGCGUUGGAUCCCCCUGCGCAGGCAGCGAGCAGCGGGGGAUGGAGCGGAGCGGGGCCGGGAGGGAGCGGAGCUGAGCAGGGAUGGAGCCUGCGGAGCGGUGCUGGGGAGGAUGGAGCCUGCGGAGCGGUGCUGGGCAGGGAUGGAGCGGUGCUGGGCAGGGAUGGAGCCUGCGGAGCGGUGCUGGACAGGGAUGGAGCGGUGCUGGACAGGGAUGGAGCGGUGCUGAGCAGGGAUGGAGCGGUGCUGAGCAGGGAUGGAGCGGUGCUGGGCAGGGAUGGAGCCCGCGGAGCGGUGCCGGGGUGCCGCCGGGUUUUUCCUCUGACCCGCACAAAGAUUUCUUUCUAAAUUUAUCUCCGCGCUCGUCUGCAGCCCCGCUCAGAGGCACAUCGGGCGGCCGGGCCCGUUCCACCGAGCGCAGGGGAGCCUUAAAACCCGCGGGGGCUGCGGCGGGCGGCGAGGCGGGGGCAGGGAGCGAGGCGGGGGCGGCUGCAGCCCCGGCGUAGCUCCCACCCGCCUCUCUGCUCCAGACCAUCCCUCCCGGAGCCCGGGAGGCUCGCUGUGGCAGGAACCGGGCGCGGAGAUGGCAGCACCCCAGCUCCCGGCUGGCCCCAGCGAGGUUUGCGCGUCCCCCGGGGCCCCGGUGCUGGCACCGCUGGGGAAUUUCCACUGCGGAGGAGCUGUUGGCCUCGGCGCGGGUCGCAGAGGCGGAGCAGCGUGUGGCUGCAGCAGCGUGUGGCUGCAGCAGCGUGUGGCUGCAGCAGCGUGUGGCUGCAGCAGCGUGUGGCUGCAGCAGCGUGUGG